CCUACGGGAGGCAGCAGUGGGGAAUCUUGCACAAUGGGCGCAAGCCUGAUGCAGCGACGCCGCGUGAGGGAUGACGGCCUUCGGGUUGUAAACCUCUUUCACCACCGACGAAGCCAGAGUGACGGUGGGUGGGGAAGAACCUGCGGAUAACUACCUGCCAACAUCCGCGGUAAUACGUANGGUGCUACCGUUGUCCGGAAUUAUUGCCCGUAAUAAUGUCCUAAGUGAUUGCUCACGUCUGCUGUCGAAACNCCUGUGUUAACCCUGCGCUUGCCUUGGGUACGGCCUGACUAAAGUGCAGUAUGGAAUUCUGGAAUUCCUGCUGUANUUCUGGAAUGCGCAGAUNUCUGGAGGAACACCGGUGGCAAAGGCGGGACUCUGGGCUGUACCUGACNCUGAUGAGCAAACGCAUGGGCAGCAAACAGGAUUANAUACCCUGGUAGUCCCUGCGGUAAACGUUGCCCUCUACGUGUGGGAGACAUUCCACGUUCUCCUCGCCGGANCUAACGCAUUAACUGCCCCAUCAGGGGACUACGGNCGCGAGGCUAAAACUNNGGGGGAAUUGACAGGGGCCCUCACNAGCGGCCGAACAAGCGGAUUA
rnacentral:rRNA from 1 species